AGCUGCUCUAUCACUUCCGCCUUAAAAUCUACGGCCACACAGCCAGAAGAAGACCUGGAGCAGAUUCUCAGAGGUGGCCUAAUGGUCCGAGGUCGGGAUCUGAGCGACUUUGAGCGCGGCGUCAUUGUUGGGGCUCGGAUGGCAGGAGUUUCAGUCACCAAGGCCGCCCAGCUUACCGGCGUCUCAAUAGGAACAGUGACAAAAGUGACAGCAGCGUACAAGACGCAGGGGAAAUCGUCGGUGAGCCGCGUGGGGAACUGUGGGCGGCAGCGCUCAUUAGGCGAGCACGACGCACGGGCACUGGUGCAGUUUGUGAAGAAGAACCGCAGCGCCACGCUGGCUCAGGUCACGGAGAGCGUGAACGCUGGGCGGAGCCACAGCGUGUCAGCCAGAACGGUCCGCCGCCAGCUGCACAGGGAGGGCUACUACAAGGAGGUUACGGUGCCCAGAGCCAGCGUCACAGGAAGCCCAGAGGAUUGUGGGAAUGGUGAAGCAGAGGGAGAGGCGGAGCAAGAAGCAGAAGGACACUCGGAUGAUGUUGCCACCACCGUUGAUCAGACAAGCUGAACCAAAUCACAAAGCUAAAAACUGACAGACUUAUCAUGUGACAGGAAGAGGAAGUGUGGCCUCAGCUUUUAGCAUGUCGAGGAACAUGAUGGCAUCUUCCUUCAAGAUUCCCAAGAAGAAACAUCCUCAUGGCUCUGACUCCAGUCCCCUAGACAUGCAGUCACCUCUGUCCCGCCUCCAGACCUCCACCCCUCGACUACAGUUUUACGGGAAUCAGUCCGGCAGAGGUGGAGCUGACAGGAUGCAUUCUGGGAAUGCUGUGGGCGCUUCGUCAGCCAGACAGAGGACGCCGUGUAAGCAGCUCUUAGGAAACUUUGAGACGCAGCAGGAACUCAAGAGCCCCAUCGGGUGUGGAGCUUCAGACGCCAAUCACAGAGCAGCAGGCAGCUGGAGCUGCCAAUCACAAGCAGGGCAGAGAGAAGUGACAUCAAGCUGUUUGUCAAACAGAUGGCGUCCUAAGAGAGCAUCUGACCGGCUGCUGCAGCCUGAGGUGGCUUUAGAGCACCUGUCUCCACCACAGAAGAAGAAAGAGCUGUCAGCUUUGGUCAAUAAAAGGAUCUCCGUGGACUCUCUGGCUGAGUUCAGAGGUGACGAGCAUCUUGGGACUUUGAGUUCUUCUACACUGGGAGACAAGAGGUGGAGGAGAGUUGAGUCUAAUGGAGACACUUCUGAGGAGAAGAGCAACACAGGAACUCCUCCUGAAUCUCCUUUGAAACAACAGACGAAGAACUCUCCUAUCUCCAGAUUGAAUCAAACUCCACCCUCAGGCCUACAAAGAUCAUCUUCUUCCAUCUCCAUGGUCUUAUCGUCGACGACGACGCCAGUAAGGAGGGUGCGACUUGCCUCCACCAGCAACCUGAAGGUCGAUGACAGGGAGAAGGAGAGAGAGAGGUGGAGGCAGUUCAAAGAGAAGACUAAGAACAACAGGUCAGCUGUCCUCCACCUCCGACUGAGGACACCCAAACCGAAGCUGAGCCAACCAACUGAGCCAAUCGUGCUGUCCAGUGAGGAGGAGGAGGACGACGGUGAGGGAAACGGAGAUGAAGCAAAGAGGACGUCACAUAGCAGCAACCAGGUUGAUGAAUCUCGUCAGGGAAACUCUGAGAAGGUGCAGGCUCCCAAACUGGUUCCUGUGACGCCAACGUCCUUCCUGCAGCUGGAGUUCGCCUCUCUUCAUGCUGGCCUCACGGCUGCAGAUGCUAACGGGCCGAUUAUGGUGAGACAGUUUGUCACAGCUUCACAUAAACCUGUAAACCAUAAACACGGACACGCUCAGUGUGACGGGGCACAGGAGUAUCAGUGCUCUGUUAUUUGUGAUCUAUAAGGUGUGGCAGCUUUACUGAGUCACUGUUGUGGGGUCUCUCCUGCCCACAGACAGGAGUGUCACUAACAGCAUGUUUACAGCUCCUCUUUCCCCUCAAACGUUUAUUUAUGCUGAUAGAUACAUUUCACAUGAUCAUAAAUUUACAACUUUUUUUCAUUGUAAAAAGUUCAAAAUGUCAUUUAUUGCAUUUUUGUGAUAAAUUUACAACUUUUAUCUAAGAGUGUCCAAGUGUUUUCCAUCAAAUUGACCUGUUUUUUUGAAAAAAUAUCCACAUUUUUUUUAAUAUCUAGAUUUCCCAUAAAUUCAUGACUAAAAUCUCAGAGAAGACCUUUGUUAUGUGAAUGUACACAAUAAAAUAUUCUUUUUAAAAAAAAAAUUGAUUUAUUUAAAUUAACAGCUAAACUUUAGGUAUUUUUACUGUGACCCCGUCUCCCAGCUCCAGAUGUGCUGAACCCUUUAACAUACUGUAAUGUUUUGCUGCUGUGAAAAUGUGACGUUUUUAUAUCGAAGGGUCUAAAUGAAGUCACGUAAUGUUACAAUAAUGAAACAUAUUUAUUGACUCUUUAAAAUCGAUACCUCGCUGAUCUACAUUCACGUUUUUAAUCUAAAAAUAAUCUAAUAAUAAUAAUCCCAGUACCUUAAACUGGUCACACUGGAGUCAGCGUCACGUGCCCAGCAGGAGCGCUCAGUCAUGUGAUCACAUGAUCUUUCUCCACAGGCAGUUGUGGUUUUCCCUUGUUUAACCUCAUGUUUCUGUA
rnacentral:lncRNA from 1 species